UACAGAGGUCUCAAGCGUUGUUCGGAUUCAUUGGGCGUAAAGCGCACGUAGGCGGCUUUGUAAGUCGGAUGUGAAAUCCCUCGGCUUAACCAAGGAAGUGCAUCCGAAACUGCAAGGCUUGAGUACUUAAGAGGAUCGCGGAACUCCCGGUGUAGAGGUGAAAUUCGUAGAUAUCGGGAGGAACACCAGUGGCGAAGGCGGCUCACUGGCCCGGAACUGACGCUGAGACGCGAAAGCGUGGGGAGCAAACAGG
rnacentral:rRNA from 1 species